CUAAAACUGAAUUAAAUAAUUGAUUUAUCAGAAAUGUUUUAUUCCUCAUUCUAGAUCUGUGCAGAUCUAAGUUAUAAACCAGGAAAGCAGCAGAAAGUUGUACUUGUAAAUAUUUCAGAGAAAACUGCUGUUCUGCAGAACUUUAUGCUGUUUUUCUCUGGUGCUAUUGAGUGCUGUGCAGAAGCUCAUUUGGGAAAUGUAUUCUUUGAUUUUGGUAAUCAAUUGAUCAACAUUUGACGCUUUGCUCAGACGCACAGCUAUUGUGAAGAGCUGUUCUUUCAAAUAUCCAUUUGAUUGUGUUUGUGAUGCUUGCUUUAUUCAACUCUGCUCCAGGCAAAUUAAAAUGUACUGCUAUAUAAUAAGUAUGGGAAAGUUAGCAUUCACAAUUUAAGGAUAAAACAUUUUGACAGUUCUAUUCUACAUUUGCAUUUAAAAAUCGUAAUGCAUUUGAUUAGACCCUAUGUUUGUUGUAGGAUCUCUUGUAGGCAUUGCUGCUGUGAGAUUGUUGCCUUUCAGGAUUUGUUCUGGACUCUGUGUCUGAGGGGGAGCACAAAAGCCUGCUGGUUCCACAGGCAUGUUAUUUUCUGCUCCAUGGUAUGUCUCAUUCUGUUUAAUUUCUGAUGGGGCUCCACCUGCACUGCUGCUGCUGUGUCAUCUGUGUUUGUGUCUGAGAUAUUUUGGCUGUGCAGAGUUAGGCAGGUACACGUGCAUUGCUCUGCCUUUUGUGCUUGCCGUGCUUUUCCAUUGGUACUCAAACUCCCAGUUUUUGAGGCACUGUAGAAUCCCCACGGGGACAGAGGCAGGGACAGGAGAUGCUGCCACCACAGGCAUUAUCCUGCUGCUGAACAGGUGAUGCUCAAUCACAGCGUGGGCACAGACAAUGGGCAGCAUUCUGAGCUCAGGACAACGAUCGCUGUCACAGGCUGAUGUCUGAAGGAUGGUCACUAAAACUAUCAGGAUUAAUUGCUCCCCUUUUAUUUUAUCCAUCAUCUUUCUGCAUUAGGAGUGUUCAGGGAGGAUUCAAGUAACCUGAUAUGACAUCUGCAACAUUGCUAUGGCCAAGAAAACUUUCAUUCCUGUAAUAAGCCUGUCUCAAGAUACACUGUCUCAAGACACCCUGUGUAAAUUACACCAAGUGUUAAAAAAACCCCAAAAACUAACAAACAUGCUGGGUAGAUUGUUCAGGCUUUUCAGAAAAGCAGAAAUGAAGAAAAAAAAAUUGUAGAGUUUACAGGAAAAUGUAUUUGAACUGAAGUGAGGCCUUCUCCCCAGUCUUUUAGCCAAUAUUAGAGACUUUGUGUAAUUAUUAGAUUUCCUUUGGGAAGCAUGUGGACUUAGGUGAUGCCAGAAAUUUGUGCAGGAGCCCCUUUCUACAUUACACCCCAUUACUCAGCCUCCAAAGCCCUGAAAACUCAAACAGCCUCAAACUGCUGUGAACUGUCAUUUUCCAUACCUUACUUCACAUUUGGGAGCUGUUUCUUCUGACUCAGCAAUAAAUAGCAGAGAAGGGAUGGACUGUGGGAAUUCAGAGAUAUUAUGUGCACAAUGUCAUUUGCUGACUGUGAAGGGGACCACUGGUGAAUCCUCUCUGUGCACCCAGACUGGGUCUUGCAUUGAAAAACAUCAAAAUCUGAAUUAUACAGAGGCUAUGCAGCACUAUGGGUAACUACUUUCGCCUUUUAUGUCUUAUUAUGUUGUUAAUUAGUUAAUGUUUGUAAAGCACUUUGAAGAUGAAAAGCCCUAUAUAAGUUCUAAGUGUUAUUAUCUCUAGAGACCUAGGUUCAAUUCAAAGGUGCUUAAUUACAUAUGCCAUAAAUUAGACUUAAUGAGUUGUAGAAUCAUACAUUUUAUGCAAUGCAUGCAGAAUUCUCAGCCAGAGCUGGGUCUUAUGGUCUGCUGCAAUACUUCUUUAGGUAUUCAGAGCUGUUAAGAAAAUUACACAAAAAUAGAGCAGAUAAUUUCUAAUAACAAUUGGAUUGCAUUUCAGUACGAUUUGGGACUUGUUGGAGCAAAUCACUGAGAGCUUUGCUCAGCUGUAUCUAGGGAUUUUCCAGUAACCAAAUUGCUGAAGGUAACAGUUUUGGAGUUAUUUUAAUUAUGAUAUAGACAUAAUUCUAAUUCAUACUUCUGUAUUUUGGCUUAGCAGAAGGGUGCUGAGAGGUUUUGGUGUGACUGUUGUCCUUCCAGUAAGACCCUGAAAUGUCCCUUUAGAGGACCACUUCAUGUUGGGUUAUGUUCACAGGCAUAAAAGAAGAAUUUCCCAUCUCUAGAGAUACCACUGUGUAAUUUAUAACAGGCCAUUACGAGCGGGUAGCCUGCAAAAAGGGGAAGCCACAGUUAUAGGAAAAUGUGGUUUCAUCGGCUUUGCAGAGCUGAGAGUUUCCAUGUUUUGUAACUCACAUAUUUUGUGGCCAGAAAGCUGCAGACUUUGCCCUGCUGCAGCCCCAGCCUCGGGGCAGAUGUCCACAGUGAGCAGGCAGCUUCUCCUGGCUCCUGCCCAGCCAGCAGGCUCAGAGGCACACAAAACCAGCAGGAUCACCCACCUGACCUGAAGGGCUCUCAGGUGCUCCUGCAGCAGAAUAUAUCCAUUUUACCUUGGGCCUUCCACAGGCAUAUAGAAGGAGGCAGGAUUUAUCCUGAGUAUAAAUCUGCUAGGAGUGAUUGUGUUCGUUAGUACAACCCAAGUAGAUUGGAAGAACUAAUUAUUAGCAAUUUACUAGGAGUGUCGCUAACAGACUUACUUGAAAGUAUUUAUCCCGAAGUGAAAGUCAUUUGAUUUGGUUAAUGUUUAUUGUAAGCAUAUGCAGAGUGUCUUCCAGGGGAAAAUGUAUUUUUGAGUGCUCCAGACAAGUGAAACUGGUGAGCCCGCAGUCCAGAGAAAGCAUCUGCAACCGCAGCCAAAAGGGGAACGAGAUUUCUGACAUUCUUUCAAGACAUGUGUUUGAAGCAUGGGUUCCCAUCACUUUCAGAGCCUCUUGCAGGCCUUUUUCUUUAUAUAGAUUUAGACAAGUCCAUGUGGGCCUAGCUUCAGCGGGAUAAACGCCUCUGUGAUUUCUCCCUCAUCCAUUCUCUACUCUUACAGUAAUGCUUAUUUUGAACAGAAUGUGUUCUUUAAAUGGGCCAGAGCACAGUUCCCUACAGUAUUUACCACUCACUUCUCCAUAUUCCCAAGAAAUGGGACUAGUCUUCCACCAUAAUUACUGGGGUGCAUCUCUUUCAAAAACAAGACAUUAUUUUGGUGAAUACUUUUCACAUACUCUAAUAAAUAGGAACUUCACAUGAAUGCUGAUUUGAGCUCCAAGCUGUGGUUAAAUGUUUUAAUAGUGCAGCAAACUUAUCAACAAACCUUUCCUUCCCUACCCUUCCCCCUUCCCUUUUUACUAUGAACAGAUUUUUAUCCGACUGGCUUGUGACUUGGGGAUUUUUACAAGCGGGUUUAGGAACUUGUCAAAUAUUUGAAAAUUUGAGUCUGAAAACAAAACAGAAAAUCCCACAACUUAAAAGCCCCAUAUUUUAUACAUUGUGUGUUAACUGGGUAAAAUUUUGACUUGCUGAAAUACCUAUAGGACUCUAUUCUCUGACCUAACUAUUAAUACUUAACUAGAAGUUACCGGUCUGAUGCCUUUUUUUAAUACUCCAAGACACCAUUUAUACUGACAUAAUGCACUGAGCUACCAAAUCAGUGAAGCUGCACAGCACUCUUUGUUUCCAAAUGCCUGUAGCCUUUUGUCAGAAGGUGGUAAGAAUAUUCAUAUUGGUUUUAUUUAACUUUGGUAUUUCCAGCCUCCUUUCCUCCUCUGUUUCCAAGAUGUCAGUGACUGACAUACUCUGGCAGUGAUAUCACUGCUCUCAGACAUGAGUGAAGAACCUCUCUGAGCAAGUGGGACAGUUGUGAGCUUGAGCAGCUGCCCUGAGGUGCCUGUUGCAGGGGCACCAGGCAGCAGGGACAACUUACAGCAGGGAUCACCUUGGUACUGCCAGACCUUCCAGUCUGGCCAGGACACCACAGCCUGGGGAGGCUGCUCCUCCAGACAAUGCUCAUGGGCUCAAGAAGCAGUAAAUGUGCAUGGAGAAGCAACUUGCUAAGUUAAUGUCCAGUACAGAACUCUGGUCACUUGGUGUUUGUGUCUGCUUGGGAGUUUUACAAAAACUGGCCAUGCUUUUGGCUUGUGACUUCCUCAGACAUUUUCCUGUGUUAAAUCCCUAACUUAACUAAGCACUGAUCUUUCUCCUCUGAAAAUCUUUGGCUGUGGAAGCAUUGCCCCUGCAGGAGGUCUGGAAGACUUCUGGAUCAUUACUGGUUCUGACUUCCUCUCUCUGUGAGCAAAGAGUCAUCACAGGUCAACUGCAGAGUGAAAAGUGCGGCAGCAAACUGUGGGGCAAACAGGGAAGCAAGCUAAUGCUAUCUCCUGCUUUCACCAGAUAAAAGUCAGAAAUACCAUAACCACUAAAAGACAUCUUGAAUCAAGAAACACUUUGAUGGACCCAGUCUUCAGGGUUGCAUUGAGUUCCUCAGACAGGUAUAGACAGAUGUACCCCAGUCGUGUGGCACCCAUGAAUAGAUCCAGUGAGCCUGUGCAGCUGUGUUUUGAUCAGCAGAGAGGGUUCCUGGCAUGGAGAACUGAAAUCACCUUGUGGGUAUGACAGGCACAUCUAAGUAUGUAGCAAGUGAAAAUCAAGGGUUUCUCUAAGGAAGAAGAAAGGACACUACCACAAAAAAUUAAAAGUAAAGUAACCUUUAAUAAUCGCAGCAAUGCAAACCCCAUUUUAUGCAUUGCUCUAAAUUGGCAUUUAGCCAUCCAUCAUUUGCUGGCUCAUAAAGGUGAUUUGUGCUCUUCCCUCCCUGUUUUAGGAUGGCCUCUUUUCAGCACUCCUUUCCCAUAGGCACACAACUGGGACCCAAACAAUUUUUGUCUCUUCCUCUGGAGCUCUCUAACACAUGGGAAAAGGAGGAGCUGUGAGCAGCUUGCUUUCUUCUUCGUUGUGUAAUGCUAUUUAUAAACUCUGCCGAUGGACACUUGGGAGGUGUCUAAAAUGUUAGACAAGGAAAUGGGUAUAACUCAGAGGAACCCUGACCUUGACUGAAUAGGGUCAAAAAGCCUCAACCACCUCUUUCAUUUGAAACUCCUCAUUUACAGACUCAGACUUCCAUUGUCGCUUAGAGCUGACAAAUACGUAUGGGGUCUAUGUUAGUCUGAAAGAUAAGAGAAGUGCCGAGGAAACUUCUCCGUGUGAGCGCUCAGAGCCCCCCUGGCAGUGCCAGUGCCAGUGCCAAGGACAGAGGCUGGCACACCAGAGCCCCCUGGCAGUGCCAGUGCCAAGGACAGAGGCUGACACACCCAGAGCCCCCUGGCAGUGCCAG